rnacentral:rRNA from 1 species
UACGUAGGUGACCAGCGUUGUCCGGAUUUACUGGGCGUAAAGAGCGCGCAGGCGGUCGUUCAAGUCGAGUGUGAAAGCCCCCCGGCUCAACUGGGGAGGGUCACUCGAUACUGAUCGACUUGAAGGCAGGAGAGGGAAGCGGAAUUCCCGGUGUAGUGGUGAAAUGCGUAGAUAUCGGGAGGAACACCAGUGGCGAAGGCGGCUUCCUGGCCUGUUCUUGACGCUGAGGCGCGAAAGCUAGGGGAGCAAACGGG